AAGUCGUAACAAGGUUUCCGUAGGUGAACCUGCGGAAGGAUCAUUAGUGAAUAAACUUGUGUGGGUUGUUGCUGGCUUCCUCGGAAGCAUGUGCACGCCUGCCGUUGUUUCAUUCCCCUUCCACCUGUGCACAUUUUGUAGACCAGGCUGUCGCUCUCGGGUUGCUUGCAAACACCGGUAUGAGGACUUGCUCCGGCUGUCCUUGGAUGGUGUGGUCUAUGUCUUUAUCAACUCCUGUAUGUAACCGAAUGUUUGUUCUGGGUUUUGAACCCAUAAAAUCCUAUACAACUUUCAACAACGGAUCUCUUGGCUCUC
rnacentral:misc_RNA from 1 species